GAUGAACGCUAGCUACAGGCUUAACACAUGCAAGUCGAGGGGCAGCAUGGAGGAAGCUUGCUUCCUCCGAUGGCGACCGGCGCACGGGUGAGUAACGCGUAUCCAACCUUCCCCUUAGUAGGGCAUAGCCCGUAGAAAUGCGGAUUAAUACCCUAUGCUGUUCAAUGAGGACAUCUGAGCUGAACGAAAGCUUUUGCGCUGAGGGAUGGGGAUGCGUCCGAUUAGGUAGUCGGCGGGGUAACGGCCCACCGAGCCCUCGAUCGGUAGGGGUUCUGAGAGGAAGGUCCCCCACACUGGUACUGAGACACGGACCAGACUCCUACGGGAGGCAGCAGUGAGGAAUAUUGGUCAAUGGGCGGGAGCCUGAACCAGCCAAGUAGCGCGCAGGAUGACGGCCCUACGGGUUGUAAACUGCUUUUAUGCGGGGAUAAAGUGGGGGACUUGUCCCUUUUUGCAGGUACCGCAUGAAUAAGGACCGGCCAAUUCCGUGCCAGCAGCCGCGGUAAUACGGAAGGUCCAGGCGUUAUCCGGAUUUAUUGGGUUUAAAGGGAGCGCAGGCCGGUGUGUAAGCGUGACGUCAAAUACAGCCGCUCAACGGUUGUCCGCGUCGCGAACUGCACGCCUUGAGUACGCGGGAGGCACGCGGAAUUCGUGGUGUAGCGGUGAAAUGCUUAGAUAUCACGAAGAACCCCGAUUGCGAAGGCAGCGUGCCGUAGCGUUACUGACGCUGAAGCUCGAAGGUGCGGGUAUCGAACA
rnacentral:rRNA from 1 species